AGAUUGUCUGGGGGCUGGAUGGAGUGCAGACUUGGCACGAGAGAGCCUGGAGCUAGGGCGAAGUUGCCAGCUCAGUGGCAGAGGAGUCUGCUGGGAAUGUGCAAUCCACAGCAUGCUGCAGGACUUCAGAUGCAGCAUGAUUUCCCAAAGCGUCGCACCAGAGGCUCUGGAAAUUCCCAGACCAGCUCAUUUGCCCCCAGCGGGACAGAGACCUCCUCCUCUGGUGUUCCUGCAAGGCUGAACGAGCUGCCUGUGUGUGUGUGUCUGGAGGCAGAGCUGCAGAAAAUCAACGGGGCCAAAAGAAAAUGAGCAUGAGCUGUUGCUAAGAGCUCUGGAGGUGCUGUACUGAAGCUUUGCUGAUGUGCUGAUCCCUGUGACCAAUUCCUCUGAAGCAGGCUGUACCGUCAACUUGGAGACAGCUCCUCCAGGGUGAGAUCAGCUGUGCCUUUAGGAGAGUCUCCCAGAUGGCUCUCUGGGGAAAAAAGAGACUGAUCAAUGUCUGAAAAAAGUAUCUCAUCCGUGUCAAAACACCAGCUUCACCUUGUUGUGCCUCCCAGGGACAACUUGAAAAGGCCAAAGUGGAGCUUCCCCUUGCGAGGGGCUCAAAACACUGCUCAUGAGCUCUGGUGGCAGCGGGACCUCAGGAGCUCUUCGGGAUGUGCACUCCUGGGUUUUAUGCCCAAGCCUGUCCUGUGCUUGGCUAACGGCCUCGUUUCGUCGUAAAAUGCUGAGCAGAGCUGCUGGGGCGUGCCAGCCUGGGGGAAGCCACGGAGCCCCUGAUUGCCCAGGUAUCUGGAGAAAUCCCAUGCUUCCAGAUAAGGACACGCCAGAUUUACAGUUGCCUACCACCAUUAACACAUCCUCUUCUGCACAGUCACGUGAAGGUUGCCAGCAUGGGUGAAGAGCUCUGCUGGAGAGCAAGGAGGGAAGCUGCACGCAGUCACCUGCAAAUGCUGUAAAGAGCGGUCAGUGGUCCCCCUAUCAACUGUAGCCCAGCUGCAGCAAGAGACCCUGCUCCCAAUGUCCUUGGCUCCUGCAGAUGCAUAAGAACCAGGCUGGCUGUGUGCUCCAGGUGGAGGAACAAUGGAGCCUUUCAUCUGCUCCUGCAGAGCAGGCUGGUGGCCAGCCCGUGUGUGGUGCCUGGUUCCCUCUGCUGGUGCAGAGGGGUGGGAGCAAGCGGAGGAUGAAAAAUCAGAGUAAUGGCCGAGGAGACGGUAUCCACUUGACUUUUCUUGCCCACAGCGUGAGUGAUUAAUCUAGCUAAGGCGUUGCAGCGGAGUGAGACCACAAGGUUAGGCAGCCCGAAGCCUACGUGCUCCAGGAGCUGAGGAUGCUGCUGGUCUGGCAGCUGCAAGGAUCUUGGGCUGUUUCCUUGGAUCCCGAACUACUGAUGCCCCAUUCUUCGUGCCCAGCUCGUGACACCCGCUGCUGUCUCUGUGCCAGCGAGGGGAGAUUCCCAACCCAACCCCCACGUACUGCCGUCUGUCUACUGGAGGAAGCAAAGAGGAUUUUCAGCCCUCCCAUCUAGCAGUGGGUCUGGUGGCAGGUCCAUGUGCCCCCCCUGUGGCCAGCUGGACCAAACAUCUUCCUCUCCCGUGCUGACCUUUGCGGUGAGGUUGUGUGUGGAGAAAUGUGCCAAAACGCCCCGUUGCCGUGGGAACCGAGGCCAAGAGAGGACCGGCCUGCUUCUGCUAAUUGCUGCAGCUCCUUCACCUGGCUGCAAACCCCACUGCACGAAGCCAGCCCCGUGGCGCUCCGGCCCCAUCCUGCCCC